rnacentral:rRNA from 1 species
UACGAAGGGGGCUAGCGUUGCUCGGAAUUACUGGGCGUAAAGGGAGCGUAGGCGGAUAGUUCAGUCAGAGGUGAAAGCCCAGGGCUCAACCUUGGAAUUGCCUUUGAUACUGGCUGUCUUGAGUAUGGGAGAGGUUAGCGGAACUCCGAGUGUAGAGGUGAAAUUCGUAGAUAUUCGGAAGAACACCAGUGGCGAAGGCGGCUAACUGGCCGAUUACUGACGCUGAGGCGCGAAAGCGUGGGGAGCAAACAGG